AAUGGAAGAAAGCUUAGUUCCCGAUUGACCUCGGGAAGCGGGGGAACCAUUUCCUUGGGGCGUAUCACUUUUGUGUGUAGGGAACCAUCUUUCCCGAGCCCGUCAGCUAACCUCGUCAGCUCUAGAUGGGUCGAACU
rnacentral:sRNA from 2 species